UUUACUGCAGUUUCUACAUGCCCCCUCCCAAAUGCCUUCUAAUUCUAGUCUUCGCUCCCUUACUCUCUCCCUCCAUUCGUCCUCACACCUACUCCCUCCUGUUCUCAUUUCCAUCUGUCCAAGUCCACCUGCAAAUUCUAUUUUAUUUCCCUUCCCCAGGGAGAUCCAUGCACUCCGCUUAGAGCAUCUCCUUGAGCAAGACCAUCAGGGAUUCGAGUACUGUCUUGAGGAUACAUUUAGUCCCAUCCAACAAAGCAUCUUCCAAGAUCUUGCCAGAUUUGUGCCCAGACAAAAUUACACAAGUCAAAUAGGUAGGUUCGUUCCCUCAGACUGAAUUGUGAUGUGUGAAAAUCAGGAGUGAGCUGAAUUCAGGUGCAAGGAAUCAUUCCCCCCUGCGGUGCUGCUGUGUCCAGUGGUCCAGCAGCUGCCCUCCAGUCUAGGAGUCUUCUAUGUCUGGGAAGGAAAGGGGAAUUACCUUUUUUCUCCUGAAGCAUCUUUUGGGGUGCUCUGAGAAUGCAGCAGAGGAUGCAAAACUUCUGCCUUUUCCCAGGGACUAUGGCCGAGCUGCCUUUCAUUUUGACUUUCACAAUCCUAUAACUAUGCUUUUCCUGCCCUCAUCCCUCUGCUUUGUAAAGUUCUGUACUGACAGUAUUAGCAUUUUUAAAAAAAAUCACUUCCAAGAGUUUUACAUAUGGCAUCUGGGAGGUUUGCAAACCACCUCCUUCUGGCCUGCUCAUCCUGCCACUUCCCAUUAACUCUUUUAGCUGCUAUAGCCUUUUGACUUUCUUUGCACAGAUAGUAGUAAUUUGGGGGCCAGGGUCCUAAAUUAAAUUCCUGCAGCUCAAUUCCCUGGUUCAUUUACCCUGAACCACCUUCAAAUUGAAAUUUUGUUUUGUUUUGUUUUUUUAUUUUGUUUGUUUGUUUGGUUUGGUUCUUUUUUGUUUUUUUCUUUUUGUUUUUUGCCUUUUGUUUUCUUUUCACUGCCAAUCCAAGUAGGAAUGGAUCCUGGGGAAUUACACAGAGGCACAGCCUUCUCCUUUCUCCCUUUUUCUGACAAAUCCUCCUGCCCUUUUGUGUCUCUCUUCUAUUAUGCCUUCAGAAACGCGUGCUCUGUACCUUCCGCUUAAACUGCUAGCUUUUCCUCCGUGAACCAACGUGAUGUACAACACGUACACUCCCAGGGCCAGAUGAAUGGUUUUCCAUUAGAGGUACACGGUGCCAUCUGGGGCACCCAGGAAGAUAAUGCCACUAAGACACCCCCAUCUCUCACACACUCGAAGGGAAGAUUUGUACCGCUCUGCCUGGCUCUCCUCUACCACUGCAGUGCAACGUGCCUGGGUUCUGAAAUUUGUGUCCUUCUAUGCAGUAUCUCAGUGCACUCUGCGGCUUGGGGGGUGGGUGAGCUUGAAAUGGGAUUCUGUAUGCACCAAAAGGUAAAAUACAAUUGCAAUGCAAACUGUCAACACAGAUACAAGGAUUUCCUUCAGUUAAAGCAAUCAGGUGAAAUCCUUUGAAAAGGCUUACAGAACAAGAGGGCUGUUUAAAAAGGGCAAGGCCCUUCAGUGGGCCACAAAAUUAGCAUUUUCUUGUUUCAGCACCUUUGUUAUUGCUUUUGUGAUUGAAGGCGAUUGGUGGGGAGAAGUCUUGGCUGCUGCAUAAGGCUCCUUAACUGAUUUCCAGAGAGAGAGAGAGAGAGAGAGAGAGAGAGAGAGAGAGAGAGAGAGAGAGAGAGAGAGAGAGAGAGAGAGAGAGAGAGA